rnacentral:rRNA from 1 species
UACGAGGGGGGCGAGCGUUGUUCGGAAUUAUUGGGGCGUAAAGGGCGCGUAGGCGGUCGGAUAAGUCUUGUGUGAAAUCUUCGGGCUCAACUCGAAGUCUGCACAGGAAACUAUCUGGCUUGAGUGUGGGAGAGGUGAGUGGAAUUCCUGGUGUAGCGGUGAAAUGCGUAGAUAUCAGGAGGAACACCUGUGGCGAAAGCGGUUCACUGGACCACAACUGACGCUGAGGCGCGAAAGCUAGGGGAGCAAACAGG